ACAGAACUUGUCUCUUAAAUCUGUGAGCCUCAGUGCUGUUUUGUUUCUGUUGUGGAAGCAGAAGUGUCAGGCUUUGGUGUAACGUUCUCUCAACCCUUGACAUUAACUUCCUGGUCAAGGUUUAUAAUAUGAGAAGUAUGUACUGCAGAUUUCCAAGCCCCUUGACAGGAUGGAUGGGAGGGAGAGAUGAGCGAGUUCCUCUGCACCAUGAUCUAUCAAGUAAAUACCAUGAUGUGUAAUUAGAAGAUAGAAAGUGGAGGCAUCAGAAAAAGAAACAUCUUUGUCAGCCUGCCCCUACAGCUACAAUAGUCAAGACACCAUUUUGUAGACAAAAAAAUGUGUCUACAAUAUGUAUUUUAAACAUAUUGUAAACUAUAAACAUAUAAACAGCUAUGUAUUUUAAACCAAAACAUUGAAGAAGGAGCAACUUGCUUUUAGAAGACAACACACAAGGGGCUUUGGGAGAUGAAAAACGCUUCCUGAAUAAACACUUUCUUCUGAUGCUUUUUAUGCAGGAGUGAAAGGGUUGGUGCAUAGGGGUAAUAUAUUUGAUGUUAGCCAAAUCUCUGCAGAAGCAUUUCCUUAAAUACAGAGCUUAAAUCUCUGAGAAUGU